rnacentral:rRNA from 1 species
CCCUUAGAUGUUCUGGGCCGCACGCGCGCUACACUGACGAAUGCAACGAGCUUAUAACCUUGUCCGAAAGGUCUGGGUAAUCUCCAAAUUUCGUCGUGAUGGGGAUAGAUUAUUGCAAUUAUUAAUCUUCAACGAGGAAUGCCUAGUAAGCGCAAGUCAUCAGCUUGCGUUGAUUACGUCCCUGCCCUUUGUACACACCGCCCGUCGCUCCUACCGAUUGAAUGGUCCGGUGAAGCGUUCGGACCGUGGCCUUUGGACGGUUCGCCGUCUGUUGGCUGCGGGAAGUUCGUUAAACCUUAUCAUUUAGAGGAAGGAGAAGUCGUAACA